rnacentral:rRNA from 1 species
ACGGCUCAGUAACACGUAGUCAACCUGCCCUAAAGACAAGGAUAACCCCGGGAAACUGGGAUUAAUCCGUGAUAGGUCAUCUCAUCUAGAAGGAGAGAUGGCUUAAAGGGGUACGAGAGCUUCUUUCUUGUACCCGCUAUAGGAUGGGACUGCGGCCGAUCAGGCUGUUGGUGGGGUAAUGGCCCACCAAACCUGUAACCGGUACGGGCCUUGAGAGAGGGGGCCCGGAGAUGGACACUGAGAGAAGGGUCCAGGUCCUACGGGGCGCAGCAGGCGCGAAACCUUCGCAAUGCGCGAAAGCGUGACGAGGUUAAUCCGAGUGGUCCCCGCUGAGGGGAUCUUUUGUUGGCUCUAAAACGGCCAGUGAAUAAGGGGAGGGCAAGUCUGGUGUCAGCCGCCGCGGUAAUACCAGCUCCUCGAGUGGUCGGGGCGAUUAUUGGGCCUAAAGCAUCCGUAGCCUGUUCUGUAGGUCCUCUGUCAAAUCCAACGGCUUAACCGUUGGCCCGCAGAGGAUACCGCAGGACUAGGAGGCGGGAGAGGUGGACGGUACUCCACGUGUAGGGGUAAAAUCCUUUGAUCCGUGGAAGACCACCAGUGGCGGAGGCGGUCCACCAGAACGCGCUCGACGGUGAGGGAUGAAAGCUGGGGGAGCGAACCGGAUUAGAUACCCGGGUAGUCCCAGCCGUAAACGAUGCAAGCUAGAUGAUCCGGUCGCAAAUCGCGAUCGGAGUGUCGCAGGGAAGCCGUUAAGCUUGCCGCCUGGGGAGUACGGUCGCAAGACUGAAACUUAAAGGAAUUGGCGGGGGAGCAC